rnacentral:rRNA from 1 species
GACGAACGCUGGCGGCGUGCCUAAUACAUGCAAGUCGAGCGGACUGAAUGGGAGCUUGCUCUUGUUCGGUCAGCGGCGGACGGGUGAGUAACACGUGGGCAACCUGCCCGCAAGACCGGGAUAACUCCGGGAAACCGGAGCUAAUACCGGAUAACACCGAAGACCGCAUGGUCUUUGGUUGAAAGGCGGCGCAAGCUGCUACUUGCGGAUGGGCCCGCGGCGCAUUAGCUAGUUGGUGAGGUAACGGCUCACCAAGGCGACGAUGCGUAGCCGGCCUGUGAGGGUGACUGGGCACACUGGGACUGAAAAACGGCCCAGACUCCUACGGGGGGCAGCAGUAGGGAAUGUUCCGCAAUGGGCGGAAGCCUGAAGGCGCGACGCCGCGGGGGCGGAGGAGGCCUUCGGGUCGUAAAGCUCUGUUGUGAGGGACGGAGGAGCGCCGUUUGAAGAAGGCGGCGCGGUGACGGUACCUCACGAAGAAGCCCCGGCUAACUACGUG